rnacentral:misc_RNA from 1 species
GAUGAAGAACGCAGCGAAAUGCGUUAAGUAAUGUGAAUUGCAGAAUUCAGUGAAUCAUCGAAUCUUUGAACGCACAUUGCGCCCCCUGGUAUUCCGGGGGGCAUGCCUGUUCGAGCGUCAUUUCACCACUCAAGCCUCGCUUGGUAUUGGGCAACGCGGUCCGCCGCGUGCCUCAAAUCGACCGGCUGGGUCUUCUGUCCCCUAAGCGUUGUGGAAACUAUUCGCUAAAGGGUGUUCGGGAGGCUACGCCGUAAAACAACCCCAUUUCUAAGGUUGACCUCGUAUCAGGUAGGGAUACCCGCUGAACUUAAGCAUAUCAAUAAGCGGAGGA